GAUGAACGCUGGCGGCGUGCUUAACACAUGCAAGUCGAACGAUGAAGCCCAGCUUGCUGGGUGGAUUAGUGGCGAACGGGUGAGUAACACGUGAGUAACCUGCCCUUGACUCUGGGAUAAGCCUGGGAAACUGGGUCUAAUACUGGAUAUGACUUCUCAUCGCAUGGUGGGGGGUGGAAAGAUUUAUUGGUCUUGGAUGGACUCGCGGCCUAUCAGCUUGUUGGUGAGGUAAUGGCUCACCAAGGCGACGACGGGUAGCCGGCCUGAGAGGGUGACCGGCCACACGGGGAGGGAGACACAGCCCAGAAUCAUACGGGAGGGAGGAGGGGGGAAUAUUGAAAAAGGGGGGAAAGCCUGAUGCAGCGACGCCGGGGGAGGGAUGACGGCCUGGGGGUUGGAAACCUCUUUCAGGAGGAAAGAAGGGAGAGUAAAGGAACGUGCAAAAAAAGGCCGGGUAAAUUAGGU
rnacentral:rRNA from 1 species